rnacentral:rRNA from 1 species
GAUGAACGCUAGCGGCAGGCUUAACACAUGCAAGUCGAGGGGUAUAGUUCUUCGGAGCUAGAGACCGGCGCACGGGUGCGUAACGCGUAUGCAAUCUACCUUUUGCAGAGGGAUAGCCCAGAGAAAUUUGGAUUAAUACCUCAUAGUAUGUGAGAAUGGCAUCAUUUUCACAUUAAAGUCACAACGGCAAAAGAUGAGCAUGCGUCCCAUUAGCUUGUCGGUAAGGUAACGGCUUACCAAGGCAACGAUGGGUAGGGGUCCUGAGAGGGGGAUCCACCACACUGGUACUGAGACACGGACCAGACUCCUACGGGAGGCAGAAGUGAGGAAUAUUGGACAAUGGGCGCAAGCCUGAUCCAGCCAUGCCGCGUGCAGGAUGACGGUCCUAUGGAUUGUAAACUGCUUUUGUACAGGAAGAAACACUGGUUCGUGAACCAGCUUGACGGUACUGUAAGAAUAAGGAUCGGCUAACUCCGUGCCAGCAGCCGCCGUAAAAC